GGUUAAGUUAGAAAGGGCGCACGGUGGAUGCCUUGGCACUAGGAGCCGAUGAAGGACGGGACGAACACCGAUAUGCUUCGGGGAGCUGUAAGCAAGCUUUGAUCCGGAGAUUUCCGAAUGGGGAAACCCACCACUCGUAAUGGAGUGGUAUCCAUAUCUGAAUACAUAGGAUAUGAGAAGGCAGACCCGGGGAACUGAAACAUCUAAGUACCCGGAGGAAGAGAAAGCAAAUGCGAUUCCCUGAGUAGCGGCGAGCGAAACGGGACCAGCCCAAACCAAGAGGCUUGCCUCUUGGGGUUGUAGGACACUCUGUACGGAGUUACAAAGGAACGAGGUAGAUGAAGAGGUCUGGAAAGGCCCGCCAUAGGAGGUAACAGCCCUGUAGUCAAAACUUCGUUCUCUCCUGAGUGGAUCCUGAGUACGGCGGAACACGUGAAAUUCCGUCGGAAUCCGGUGAGGACCAUCUCCCAA
rnacentral:rRNA from 1 species